rnacentral:rRNA from 1 species
AUAAAUAAGCAGAGGAAAAGAAACCAAAUGGGAUUUCCUGAGUAACGGCGAGCGAAAGGGAAAGAGUCCAGCGCCAAGUCUUGACACGUCAGGUGUUCAAGAGAUGCGGCGUUUAUGUGUUGGUGCAUCGUGCGUUGCUUCCAGUAACAAGUUUCAUUGAGCGGAACUCCCAUAGUGGGUGCUAGGCCCAUAGUUAUGGGGGGCUGGCGUACGCCGACCAUCACAUUCUAGAGUCAGGUUGCUUGAGAGUGCAGCCUAAAUACGGUGGUAAACUCCAUCCAAGACUAAAUAUGACAGCGAGACCGAUAGCGAACAAGUACCGUGAGGGAAAGUUGCAAAGCACUUUGAAGAGAGAGUUCAAUAGUACGUGAAACCACUUGGAUGUAAACAGAUGGAACCACGAAUUGUGUGCUUUGGUCGAUUCAAUCACCGUUGUCGGUUUGGCGUGUCAAACUGGGGGGCCUUUUCGAAGGUCGGUUUGAUGCGGCAUAAAACUGGCGUCGGUGGUGCAUUUCGUGCCAAAGAUGCAAAGCCACGUUUGACUAGAGUUGGAACGGCCGUAGGACGGGUUUCGGAAAAGGUGUCCGGUAAUUGCUUGCAGUUGUCGGCGUUAUAGUUCCGGAACGGUACCGUUGCCUAACAAACUGGUCAAUGUAAAUUCUCCGUUUGGAGUAUGGGUUGUAAGUAGUUUUGCGUGUACCAGCCAGAUUGUAGUUGUGUGCUUUGCGUGUCUUUGGAUGCGAAAAGUCGCGGCCAUCAUUUUGGUUUGUCCGCAUCGUCUACUACAACAUAACUGUGGCGGUAGGUCGGUGUCCAUCUGACCCGUCUUGAAACACGGACCAAGGAGUCUAUCAUGUACGCGAGUCGCACGGUCUUGAAUAGGCCCGUGAGGCGCAAUGAAAGUGAUUCUACGAUGCACAAAUUUGAUGCUACAGUAGAGGCUCGCCUACUUUGUUUUUUCGGCAAUAUGGCGAAGCCAGAGCGUAUACGAUGGUACCCGAAAGAUGGUGAACUAUGCCUGAGCAAGACGAAGCCAGAGGAAACUCUGGUGGAGGUCUGUAGCGAUUCUGACGUGCAAAUCGAUCGUCAGACUUGGGUAUAGGUGCGAAAGACUAAUCGAACCAUCUAGUAGCUGGUUCCCACCGAAGUUUCCCUCAGGAUAGCAGGCGUUUAUUAUAUUCAGUCUCAUCCGGUAAAGCUAAUGAUUAGAGGUCUUGGGAUUAAAACGAUCUCAACCUAUUCUCAAACUUUAAAUGGGUGAGAUGGUUGACUUGCUUGAUUGAAGCCAGCCAUACGGAUGUAAGUGCCUUGUGGGCCAGCUUUGGUAAGCAGAACUGGCGAUGUGGGAUGAACCAAACGUCGGGAUAAGGUAUCAAAUGCACACGCUCAUCAGACCCCAGAAAAGGUGUUGGUUGCUAUAGACAGCAGGACGGUGGCCAUGGAAGUCGGAAUCCGCUAAGGAGUGUGUAACAACUCACCUGCCGAAGCAACUAGCCCUGAAAAUGGACGAUGCUGUAGCGUGGAACCGAUACCCGACCGUAACGGCAAUACGAUAGAAAAUGCGAUGCCGUUACGAGUAGGUGGGCCGCAAUGAUAGUGUUGAAGAUGUCGGGCGUGAGCCCGCUUGGAACUGUCAUUGUUGCAGAUCUUGGUGGUAGUAGCAAUUACUCAAGUGAGAAUCUUGAGGACUAAGGUGGAGAAGGGUUCCAUGUGAACAGCAGUUGGACAUGGUUCAGUCGGUCCUAAGGAAGCGGAGAAAUCCGUUAAAACGAUCAGAUUUAAUCAUGUAAUGAGUGCUGAUUGAUUUUCCGAAAGGGAAUCAGGUUAAUAUUCCUGAACUGAGACACGGGGGACUGCUUCCGAGCAGUGGUGCGGUAACGCUAUCAAAUUCGGAGACAUCGGCGGUAGCCCUGGGAAGAGUUGUCUUUUCUCUAUAAGGUGUCGAGUGCCCAUGAAAACAGCUUGUCUGGAGAUAUGGAUGUUGACACCGAAGAGCUCAGCGGUUCUUGCUGGGUCCGGUGCGCUGCUGUCGGUCCUUGAAAAUCCGAAGGCGAGGAUAACCUCUGUGCUCAGCCGUACCAAUAUCCGCAGCAGGUCUCCAAGGUUAACAGCCUCUAGUUUCUAGAAUAAUGUAGGUAAGGGAAGUCGGCAAAACUGAUCCGUAACUUCGGGAUAAGGAUUGGCUCUGAAGAAUGGGCCGUUCGGGCUGUGUUCUGAAGCGGGUGUUGCGUCUGACCGGGAUUGGUCUGCCGGAAACGGUGGCCUGAACCUGUGUUGACGUCUGCCCGCGGAAGGUCAUGGCUACGCCUUGGUGCCCUGUGUGCCGAGUGUCGUUUCGGGCGGCAUUAAACAUUCGACUCAGAACUGGCACGGACCACGGGAAUCCGACUGUCUAAUUAAAACAAAGCAUUGCGAUGGCCGGAAACCGGUGUUGACGCAAUGUGAUUUCUGCCCAGUGGUAUGAAUGUCAAUGUGAAGAAAUUCACUUAAGCGCUACUAA